UGCCCAAUGGGGUAAGCUACUCACUCCUUGCAAGUAAAAAUUUACUACUCAACUGGGCGUUGUCUGUCUCCUUUGUCAGGAGGUGAUCUCAGAAUUUUAGUAACAACUUGGUCCUUCGAGCCGGAUCCCAACAUCUCUGACUGGAGGAUGGGGAGGAACUGGUGAAGCUGAAAAACCUGUGCACAGUCUGGUCUGGGACCUGAAAGACCUCCACCGCAGAGUUCGGUGAAAAAAGAGGCCAGCUGAACCAGGACACCUCCGUCCAACAGUGGGGUGACGGGAUCCGAACAACAGUGAACGAGACCCUGCCUGCCUAAGGAGACACCAGUUGAGUGAGUAUGAGUGUGUUUGUGAGGUCGCGCGCAUGAACCGUUCUUGGGUGAACCGUUCUUGAGUGAGAGGUCGCUGCCCAGGGGGGUAAGCUACUCACUCCUAGUAAAGACCUGAUUAGGGAGGUCUCUAAAGACAAACCUCGCGCAUGCACGUUAAAGAUAAAGCUAGCAAAGAACGGUGUGAUUGAUGUGUGAUUGAUGAGUGAUUGGGUUCGCGACAGCCGAAGCAGCGGGCAGAGGGUAAACCUGAUCGGUGUCAACUGACUCUGCUGACUGUUGAAGUAGGCUGUUGGCGUUCCAUUGGCAAAUAUGAGAAGUAGUGGCAGUAAAAAGAUUGAACCUCAGCUGAUGGCUGAUGCAAAAUACAUGCAUAAAUGUUACCCUGGCUCUUGUGAACAAUUGAGCAUGUGGCAAAAGAAAUAUGAUUUCAAUGAAACUCGGAGUAACUGCUUGUACUCUGUUGGUAAAAAAAGAAAAAAAAAAUUAUUGGGUGCAGAAAAAAAUAUGGUUGGUCUGAACUCAAGUGACCUUUCAGCAUAGCUGGACUAUGUAAAAUAGAUAGAUAUAUAAAUAGAUAGA